rnacentral:ncRNA from 2 species
ACCCAAAGCUGGGGGUGUUGGCGUCCAUCGGGGCGCCGACUGAGAAAGUCCCUUUGAACCUGAUUGAGGUAAUCCUCGCGCAGGGAAGCUGGUCCCGGAUCUG